rnacentral:rRNA from 1 species
UUUCAACAAAACGAAUGUCCUGUGCUCCCACAACGAUAAAGAACGUAGCGAAGUGAGACAAUU